ensembl:lncRNA
UUGCUCUCUCUCUUCUGGACUCCGAUCAGGGAAGAGUUUCUCCAGGUACCUCUCCUCUGCAGUAGUGAUCUCGCUUUCACCAAUCACUGUCCCCCACCACAAGAGGCCAGGACUCCUAUCCCCUCCUCUAAACCCUUUGAGGUCCAGAAUCCCUUCCAUACCAUCUGUAGUCGUGACGUGAGAUACUCUUGAACAAUGGAAUUCUACAGGUCGAGGAUAAUGUGGAACUUUGCCCUUAGGUGGUUUAUUUGGUUCAGCCACAUUUCUACCAAUGUACCCGUUGCGGUGUUUCAUGACGUUUUUCUUCUUCAGAUCAUCUAUAGCCAUGUGUUCCCCACGUACAUAAUGUUCAUCGA